rnacentral:rRNA from 1 species
GACGAACGCGGCGGCGUGCUUAACACAUGCAAGUCGAACGGGAUUUAGUGGACAGAAGCUUCGGUGGAAGAUUACUAAUGAGAGUGGCGAACGGGUGAGUAACGCGUGAGCAACCUGCCUAUGACAGUGGGAUAGCCUCGGGAAACCGGGAUUAAUACCGCAUAAAAUCGUAGAAACACAUGUUUUAACGGUCAAAGAUUUAUCGGUCAUAGAUGGGCUCGCGUCUGAUUAGCUAGUUGGUGAGAUAACAGCCCACCAAGGCGACGAUCAGUAGCCGGUCUGAGAGGAUGAACGGCCACAUUGGAACUGAGACACGGUCCAAACUCCUACGGGAGGUAGCAGUGGGGAAUAUUGCACAAUGGGGGAAACCCUGAUGCAGCGACGCCGCGUGAACGAAGAAGGUAUUCGUAUCGUAAAGUUCUGUCCUAUGGGAAGAUAAUGACAGUACCAUAGAAGAAAGCUCCGGCUAAAUACGUGCCAGCAGCCGCGGUAAUACGUAUGGAGCGAGCGUUGUCCGGAAUUAUUGGGCGUAAAGGGUACGCAGGCGGUUUAAUAAGUCGAAUGUUAAAGAUCGGGGCUCAACCCCGUAAAGCAUUGGAAACUGAUAAACUUGAGUAGUGGAGAGGAAAGUGGAAUUCCUAGUGUAGUGGUGAAAUACGUAGAUAUUAGGAGGAAUACCAGUAGCGAAGGCGACUUUCUGGACACAAACUGACGCUGAGGUACGAAAGCGUGGGGAGCAAACAGG